rnacentral:snoRNA from 1 species
AGGUCCAUACUUUCAGGGGUCAUUUCUGUAGUUGGUCACUAGAGGAUAGUCAUUGUACCUGCAUGGCAUCACAGCCACAAGGAGGAGCAGGGUGUUCUCUCAUAACUGUACUUUCACAAUCAGGAUCUCUACCCGGGCAGCAAUAUCUUGCCACAAUGUGGC